UUCCAUUGGGCACUUUGACAUUCUGGUUUUAAAGCCUGAAGAAGUUACUCCUAAUAAAUAGACGGGGAGGAUGUGAACUAUUCCCCCAAUACAGUAAGAAUUGUUGCUUAUCUGGUGAGACUUGUUUUUUUUUUUUUUUUUUUCACUUGAGUAGUUUCGGGAAGAAGACUAUAGCAAGAAGCUGAGAAAUGUUAGCAGUGCAACAAAGAAAGAAAUGCUUCCACUGAAAACGAAACGCCCACAACCAUCCACAUAGGAUUAUCAUAAAUCCUUUAAUUUUUACUUUAGCUUGAAAAAUGUGGUCCAGCUAUUCUAUAAAGUAGGAUGUAUUAAAAACAGGAAUAGAGCGAUUAAGCUGUAAGGGAAGGAAGGUUCCUUUUUCUGAUUCUGAAAGCAAACAUUCUGAGCGUUGGUCCUUUGGCCAGGUUCAAAUUAACUACUUCUUAACCCUGCACCCGACAGUGCCAUCCAUUCUCUGACCAGAUGGAGCCCUUUGUCCGCAAAAUCCACCAUAUUGCCUUAGAUUUGGUUGCUGUUAUUGUUGCUGCUAUGGCUGGUUUUGUCUUGUUUCAACUGGCCAGAGUCAGGCAUUUCAGAAGAUAGUGCUUUAAUUGUGGCAAGGUUCACAAAAGAGAAACAUGGUUAUGUAAAGGUGCUAUUUCCAAAUAUCAUCUGACCAUUUUAUUGACUCUAGAAAGUAGAGUGAGGAGGGCAUCACGUAUUAUAGCCCUUGGAGGUUACUGGAGCUGAGUCAGGGAAACAGCUCAGUUAUACUGUCAUCGUGAGUUUCACUGAAAUGUUAUCAUCAGCUACAUUCUUGUUGCAGAAUAUCUGCAUGCGGCAGAGAUGGGGGGACAAAUAGACACAUAUUUGUAUUUUGUAGCUUCUGCGUUUCAUAAUAUGGUACUGAUAAGAAAAAUAAUUGUCACAUAUCCUUUAUAUGAACAGAGAAUGAACAUAACAGAAAUGAUAAAAUGUCUUUGUUUAUGAUUACAGCUAUGAUUUUGAAACAAUCAUAUUAGGAUAUCAUGCAAACAGAAUAAAUUUUGCAGAUUCCAAGGGCUCCACAUUCACAUUUCAAUCUGUUAUCAAAUAUCCCCUAAAUAACAGUGUGCAAAUAUUCUCUUUAAGUAUUUACCAUUAUAAAUGAAGGAAAGCCAUCCAUGGCUUGGGCUGAGGUAACCAGGCAUUGUUCCAAUGAAUGAAUUAUUAAUGUGGAAUAAAGUAGGAGAGGAAGUAUUCAGUGGAGGGGUGAACAUCAACACAGAUCCCCAAGGGUUUAGCCUUGAAUUUGAUGUGAAACUCACACUCUGUGUGACUGCUGAAAAAAGACAGUCCACUUAUUUGUACUUCUCUCCAUUUCCUUGUGAAAUUUGACUAGCACUAUAUUAACAGAGUAAUGGUUGUAAGUAAUAAUAAUAAUAAUCUUACCACCUUUAAAGCACUUUCUGCAAUACAAAUAACAUUAUUGUCAUAGAAGAUUAAAAUUUCUUAAUAACUGAUUCCCCCUUUUUCCUUUCUGCUUUUUUCUUCUAAAAUUGUGAGGCCAUUUUAUAUCAAAAAUACUUCGUGUUCUUAAAGAAAGGCUGGGAUAUUUCAGGAUUCUGGAAACAGAAAUGGAUAAAACCGCGUAGGAAUCAAUUUUACCAUGAGAAUUCUGAGAGGUAAUAUUGCCACGGGGAAAAGUUUCGAGCUGUGGACUCCAAGUGGAUCUGAGGCUGCAUGGCUGCACUGCCACAUGUGUGGCCAAGGCAGGUUGUUAACCUUCCCGGCUUUAGUUUCUUCAUCUGGAAAAUGCAGGCAGUGAAGCCUGCCGCAUGGACUUACAUGAGACAGGAACUAGUGGCUGGCACAUAGUAGGUGCAUAAAGACAGUAUUAUUAUUGGCAAGCAGAUCAGUUAUAAACACUCUACUAAAUCUAUCUGUAAUGCACAAAUAUUGAUUUUUAUAUCAUUGCAGAAGUAAAAUGAGGUAAUUAAGGGAUCUCCCAAUGGAUGGAAAAGGUAGAAGAUGGAGGCAAAAUCCCUUCCCAAUCAUAGCUUCAACUUAACGAGUUGGAUGUAGGUAUUUUAUUGGCAGCUAGACCUAUUUCCCUAUCUUACCAUCAUCCCUACCCCACCCCCACCUCCUUGAAGUUAUAACAUAUAAGAAGAUAUCUACUGGGGCGGGGGGGGGGGGGGAAGCAAGGGCAAUAAUUGAAGUUGUCAUGAUUCCCAGCAUUGCUGCUUCAGAUGUGUUUAAGACUGUAAAUAGGGCAUUUCCCCAAAUCUAUCUUUGGGGUUAUGCUUCAUCAACAGGCAAAAGGAUUUGAGUAUAAUGUGUUUUUAUCACAAUUAAGAAUAGGCCAAAAUAAUUUUUUAAGGGAAAAAAAUGUUUGUUCCUUCUGUGGCAACAAGUUGGUACACAUUUUUUUUUUUUGAGAGAGAGACAGAGUGGGGAGGGGCAGAGGGAGAAGAGAGAAUCUUGAGCAGGCUCCACACUCAGCGUGGAGCCUGACAGUGUGGAUCCCACAACCCUGGGAUCAUGACCUGAGCUGAAAUCAAGAAUCAGAUGCCCAACUGAGGAGCCACCCAGGAGCCCCUGGUCCACUUUUAAAUAGAUAUGGAACAAAACACAUACCUGAUGUGAUGAUCUGGAUCCACAAGGUCAAGAAACUUUUGGAAAAAAAAAAAAAAAAAGAUUAAACUAUAGCAGAGGUUCCAAAACAUUCUUGGUUUGCAGUGCCCUUGAUAUUUCAAUAAUUGUUUUUACAGUGCCCUUAGGACACAAGAAAUAGAGCCAAACAACUUAACAGGUAUUUAUGUUCUAACAAAUAAGUAGUUAUUUGAAAAAAAAUACACAGCAAUCAGCAGAAAAACCAAUAUUUUAAUUUUAUUCAUAAAUAACCACAGUUACUUACAGCAUGUGGGCAUCUCCCAGGCACUGUACAACUUCUAAGAUCAGACGCUGCCCCUCAGUUCCUUUUCCACAUUGAUUUUGCAUUGUACUCUCUUAUUAUCACAAGUUCGAUGGGAAAAUAUAAAUAUAUGACAUCAUCGAAAGGAAUGGAGCACCACCUACUGUUGAAACUGUUAACUUCUCUGGCCUAGUAAUUCACAAGGAGACUCACAGAGCCCAAGUGUUGCUAGUAUUUCCCUCGCAAUGUUAAAAUACUUCCUGGCACCACAGUGGGUUCCCUGCUACACCCCAGGAUGCCUCAGCAUGCACUGUGGACAGCACUGGACUGUAGAUCAUAAAUUGAAGAGCAGAAACCUCCUCGCGCUAAUUUGACAGGUGAUUCAAAGAAGCCAUUUAACGACUGCCGCUUGAAACAGCAGCAUCAGAUUAAAGCAUCGUCACAGCUAACAUUUACUGAGCCUUACUUUGUUCCAGACACGCUGCUCACUGCUUCAGAUGUAUUAACUCCUUGGAAUUUCACAACAACCCUACAGACUAGAUGCGAUUUAGAUCCCUGUCUUACAGAUGAGUAAACCAAGGCUCAGAGCACUCAAGUAUUUGCCUGCUAGACUUGGCGGUCAGCGUCUGUCUGACCUCGUAACAGCUCAGUUAUUUUCCUUCCCCUGUACAUCCACUACUUCACAGAGCCAUUGCAAGGCACAAAUGAAAAACAUUCCCAGAACACGCUUUGGCAUUCAGUGAUUGCGUCUGGCUCAAUACCACAAAUAUCUGCUGAGAACCUGCUGUGUGAAACCCAAGGGUAGAGAGGAAAAAAAAAUGUUAAGACUAGUUUCAAAGAGCUACACAAAUAUGUUUGCAUUAUUAUAAUGCACAAUGCUUUUACUUUUCCUUGAUCUUAAUUUUCAGAAUACAUCAGUGAUAUUCAAAAUAGUUACAUGUGAGCAUUUUAAAAUUAGAUAUGCAAUUAGCAGUCUUUUUGGUCAUUGUGAUGAAAAUGUGUCUUUUCUUUUUAUUUCCCUUGAUAACCUUCUCUAAACUUCUAUUCUGGUUCAAUGACCUGCAAUAAUCUUUUCUCCCUGAGUCAGGACAAGUGCCUUGGGCACAUCUUUCUUCUUCAUCAUUUAAAUUUAAUGUUCAGCCAUUUAACAUUUUUAUAUUUCAAUUGGUUAGUGUAUUUAAGAGACCGUGCACUCGCUGGUUGAAUGUACUUUUUAAAAAUGUUUCAAAAGUAACUUCCCAACUGCCAAUAUUGGCAGUAAUCCUCAUUGUGUUUCCCUGUCACCACCUGAUUUCCCUUUCUUAAUGACAAAAGCUUCAAUUUGCUAUUUGAUGCUAAGAUGUCCUGUGUAACAGCAGUUCUCUUUCUGAAUCUUAAACUCUCCACAUAGUCGCUCGUGUGGAGAACAGCACAGUUAGAAUGCCUGACCUUGGUCAUAAACCCAAAGGCAACUGUUCAAUUGCCUGGGUCACACAAGUAGAGUAAAAUAUAGAAAGAAAAAGAAGGACCCAAUCCCAAAUCCUCCAACUUCCACGUCAUUAUGUCUGUGGAAUCCUAUGUCCUCCUGCUGGCAAUUCAAUUUGUUGAACGAAAUGGAGGGAUCAAGGUGAAUAUGAGAGAGUUAAGGAUUCGGGUCCUAUUUGUUCCCACUGAGCUAUUUUACCUCCGUACUCCACAAGUCGAACAGAUCUAGAGGUUGUUAGAAGGUUAUAGAGAUGCUACAUGUUCAUUAUAACAAAUUCCCUCCAAUCUAUAUUAUAGACAUGGCUAAGUAUUUGUUUACUCAUUACCUUACUUGUUUGUACUAUUAUUAAACAAUAUAAACACUUGAUUUGCAGCA